UCGUUUGAUUGAAUUCAUAGUCAAUCGAGGCGAACCGGGGAAACUGAAACAUCUCAGUACCCCGAGAAAAAGAAAUCAACCGAGAUUCCCCCAGUAGCGGCGAGCGAACGGGGAGCAGCCCAGAGUCAACAUCAAUAUUUACCACAGGAGAAGGGUCUGGAAAAGCCGGCAAUAAAGGGUGAUAGCCCCGUAUCUAAAGCGGUAAGUGUUGUGAACUCGAAGAGUAGGGCGGGACACGUGUUAUCCUGUCUGAAUAUGGGGGGACCAUCCUCCAAGGCUAAAUACUCCUGACUGACCGAUAGUGAACCAGUACCGUGAGGGAAAGGCGAAAAGAACCCCGGCGAGGGGAGUGAAAUAGAACCUAAAACCGUGUACGUACAAGCAGUAGGAGCACCCGAAAGGGUGUGACUGCGUACCUUUUGUAUAAUGGGUCAGCGACUUAUAUUCUGUAGCAAGGUUAACCGCAUAGGGGAGCCGUAGGGAAACCGAGUCUUAACUGGGCGUUAAGUUGCAGGGUAUAGACCCGAAACCCGGUGA
rnacentral:rRNA from 1 species